AAUUGAUAAUUUGUAGUGUGUCUUUCUAUGUUGUGAUGUUAAACUAUUAUUCCGGGUUGGACGAAGCUUGGUGCCUAUUAAAACAAUAAAACCCGCAGUAUUUGAUUACACCUGUCCUAAGUCAGCAACAUGAUGUUCAGUGGUUGUCGUUUGUUGAUGUGGUUCGAAAGUUUUUCUCGUUCUACUCGUUCAUAGAUUAAACCGUUCAUAGUGAACAAGAGGAUAAAACAUGCUACACAGAUGAACAAGUGAUCAGUAUACUGGAGUUUCUUAUUGACAACAUAUUUGUUGAAUUUGGACGUAUACUUUUUCAACAAAUUGUCGGCCUUCUUAUGGGAGCGAUCUGUGCACCUCUCAUUUACGACCUCUUCUUAUUUUCAUAUGAAUCGGAGUACCUUCAGACACUUGUCAAAACAAGAAGAUCAAAGAAUCCAGGUUAUUUAAUUUCACUUUCAGAUAUAUAUUAAUGAUGUUCUUGACAUUAAAAUGCA
rnacentral:lncRNA from 1 species